CGGAACGUGCCCAGUCGUGGGGGAUAACGUAGCGAAAGCUACGCUAAUACCGCAUACGAUCUAUGGAUGAAAGCGGGGGAUCGCAAGACCUCGCGCGAUUGGAGCGGCCGAUAUCAGAUUAGGUAGUUGGUGAGGUAAAGGCUCACCAAGCCGACGAUCUGUAGCUGGUCUGAGAGGACGACCAGCCACACUGGGACUGAGACACGGCCCAGACUCCUACGGGAGGCAGCAGUGGGGAAUUUUGGACAAUGGGCGCAAGCCUGAUCCAGCAAUGCCGCGUGCAGGAUGAAGGCCUUCGGGUUGUAAACUGCUUUUGUACGGAACGAAACGGUGAGCUCUAAUACAGUUUGCUAAUGACGGUACCGUAAGAAUAAGCACCGGCUAACUACGUGCCAGCAGCCGCGGUAAUACGUAGGGUGCGAGCGUUAAUCGGAAUUACUGGGCGUAAAGCGUGCGCAGGCGGUGAUGUAAGACAGAUGUGAAAUGCCCGGGCUCAACCUGGGACCUGCAUUUGUGACUGCAUCGCUAGAGUAC
rnacentral:rRNA from 1 species